UACGGGAGGCAGCAGUGGGGAAUAUUGCACAAUGGGCGCAAGCCUGAUGCAGCCAUGCCGCGUGUAUGAAAAAGGCCUUCGGGUUGUAAAGUACUUUCAGUCGUGAGGAAGGUGUUAAGGUUAAUAACCUUAGCAAUUGACGUUAGCGACAGAAGAAGCACCGGCUAACUCCGUGCCAGCAGCCGCGGUAAUACGGAGGGUGCGAGCGUUAAUCGGAAUUACUGGGCGUAAAGGGCACGCAGGCGGUUAAUUAAGUUGGAUGUGAAAUCCCCGGGCUUAACCUGGGAAUGGCAUUCAAGCUGGUUAGCUAGAGUCUUGUAGAGGGGGUAGAAUUCCAUGUGUAGCGGUGAAAUGCGUAGAGAUGUGGAGGAAUACCGGUGGCGAAGGCGGCCCCUGGACAAAGACUGACGCUCAUGUGCGAAAGCGUGGGGAGCAAACGAGGGAUUAGGAUACC
rnacentral:rRNA from 1 species